rnacentral:tRNA from 1 species
GGCCGAGUAGGCGGCAAGUUGUAGCCUUGUUCACGGGGCCGCGCCCCCCCAG